rnacentral:rRNA from 1 species
AGAGUUUGAUCAUGGCUCAGGAUGAACGCUGGCGGCGUGCUUAACACAUGCAAGUCGAACGGUGAAGCCCAGCUUGCUGGGUGGAUCAGUGGCGAACGGGUGAGUAACACGUGAGCAAUCUGCCCCUGACUCUGGGAUAAGCGCUGGAAACGGCGUCUAAUACUGGAUAUGAACCGUGGAGGCAUCUUCAACGGUUGGAAAGAUUUUUUGGUCAGGGAUGAGCUCGCGGCCUAUCAGCUUGUUGGUGAGGUAAUGGCUCACCAAGGCGUCGACGGGUAGCCGGCCUGAGAGGGUGACCGGCCACACUGGGACUGAGACACGGCCCAGACUCCUACGGGAGGCAGCAGUGGGGAAUAUUGCACAAUGGGCGCAAGCCUGAUGCAGCAACGCCGCGUGAGGGAUGACGGCCUUCGGGUUGUAAACCUCUUUUAGCAGGGAAGAAGCGAAAGUGACGGUACCUGCAGAAAAAGCGCCGGCUAACUACGUGCCAGCAGCCGCGGUAAUACGUAGGGCGCAAGCGUUAUCCGGAAUUAUUGGGCGUAAAGAGCUCGUAGGCGGUUUGUCGCGUCUGCUGUGAAAUCCCGAGGCUCAACCUCGGGUCUGCAGUGGGUACGGGCAGACUAGAGUGCGGUAGGGGAGAUUGGAAUUCCUGGUGUAGCGGUGGAAUGCGCAGAUAUCAGGAGGAACACCGAUGGCGAAGGCAGAUCUCUGGGCCGUAACUGACGCUGAGGAGCGAAAGGGUGGGGAGCAAACAGGCUUAGAUACCCUGGUAGUCCACCCCGUAAACGUUGGGAACUAGUUGUGGGGUCCAUUCCACGGAUUCCGUGACGCAGCUAACGCAUUAAAUUCCCCGCCUGGGGAGUACGGCCGCAAGGCUAAAACUCAAAGGAAUUGACGGGGACCCGCACAAGCGGCGGAGCAUGCGGAUUAACUCGAUGCAACGCGAAGAACCUUACCAAGGCUUGACAUAUACGAGAACGCUGCAGAAAUGUAGAACUCUUUGGACACUCGUAAACAGGUGGUGCAUGGUUGUCGUCAGCUCGUGUCGUGAGAUGUUGGGUUAAGUCCCGCAACGAGCGCAACCCUCGUUCCAUGUUGCCAGCACGUAAUGGUGGGGACUCAUGGGAUACUGCCGGGGUCAACUCGGAGGAAGGUGGGGAUGACGUCAAAUCAUCAUGCCCCUUAUGUCUUGGGCUUCACGCAUGCUACAAUGGCCGGUACAAAGGGCUGCAAUACCGUAAGGUGGAGCGAAUCCCAAAAAGCCGGUCCCAGUUCGGAUUGAGGUCUGCAACUCGACCUCAUGAAGUCGGAGUCGCUAGUAAUCGCAGAUCAGCAACGCUGCGGUGAAUACGUUCCCGGGUCUUGUACACACCGCCCGUCAAGUCAUGAAAGUCGGUAACACCUGAAGCCGGUGGCCCAACCCUUGUGGAGGGAGCCGUCGAAGGUGGGAUCGGUAAUUAGGACUAAGUCGUAACAAGGUAACCGUA